rnacentral:rRNA from 1 species
GGUUUCCGUAGGUGAACCUGCGGAAGGAUCAUUAGUGAAUAUAGGACGUCCAACUUAACUUGGAGUCCGAACUCUCACUUUCUAACCCUGUGCAUUUGUUUGGGAUAGUAACUCUCGCAAGAGGGCGAACUCCUAUUCACUUAUAAACACAAAGUCUAUGAAUGUAUUAAAUUUUAUAACAAAAUAAAACUUUCAACAACGGAUCUCUUGGCUCUCGCAUCGAUGAAGAACGCAGCGAAAUGCGAUAAGUAAUGUGAAUUGCAGAAUUCAGUGAAUCAUCGAAUCUUUGAACGCACCUUGCGCUCCAUGGUAUUCCGUGGAGCAUGCCUGUUUGAGUGUCAUGAAUACUUCAACCCUCCUCUUUCUUAAUGAUUGAAGAGGUGUUUGGUUUCUGAGCGCUGCUGGCCUUUAGGGUCUAGCUCGUUCGUAAUGCAUUAGCAUCCGCAAUCGAACUUCGGAUUGACUUGGCGUAAUAGACUAUUCGCUGAGGAAUUCUAGUCUUCGGACUAGAGCCGGGUUGGGUUAAAGGAAGCUUCUAAUCAGAAUGUGCUACAUUUUAAGAUUAGAUCUC